AAUAUUUUUUUCAUGGUUAUACUUCAGCGAAAGAAGGAAUGGAGGAGGAAUAAAGUUGAAAGACACAAAUUGCAGGCUCUUAAUCAUCGUUAAAAAAUGGUGAUGUUUCUUGGUACCUUUUGUUUUCAUUUUUUGACCCGCUUGAUCUUUAUGGAUCAUAGAGGUAAAGUAAGUGCUGGAAGAGACACUUAAGGCCAUGAAACCACAUCAAUUGCCACACCAACUUCAUUUUUUUUUAUUAUUUUUACUAUUUAUUCGAUUUAAUAAAAAUUUUCAGGAGGUUUCAAAAUGUGAUGUGGAUCUGCAUAGGAUCCAUUUUUUCUUCUUUGUACGAGUGGAAGCACAGGAAAGCCUAAGGUUGUUCUACAUACUACAACUACAGGGGAGACAUGGUAUACACUACAUCAACAUUCAAAUAUUCAUUUUACUACAAACCAUCUUAUAUACCGAUAUAGAUCUCAGUGAGAUUCUCAAUUGUAUGUUUCAAAUGCCUGCGUCGUAACUAUACUGAAGAGCAAUUGGAAAUUGAUGGUUAUGUGUUGAAAACCCCUCGACUUUCAAAAGCCCUGACAUCCUCUUUGCUAAUGGAAUGGAUUUUUUCACUUCAGUGAAUGAAAAUGGGCAUGGGCUGUUUUUUUAUCAUUGGUAUGUAUUGCAACAAGAAUACGUGUUGAUUGCUUGUGUAGUUUUGGCAUGUCAUUAUAUUGCUAAUAUAGUCAGCUCAUAUUUGAUAUGAUUUAUAUUCCUUAAGGUUAUCGUUUUAAGCAAUAGUUGUGGAUGUUGUUAGCACCUUCACAAACCUUCUCAUGAGAAUCGGUUAGA